rnacentral:rRNA from 1 species
AUUGAACGCAGGCGGCAGGCUUAACACAUGCAAGUCGAGCGGGGGAAGGUAGCUUGCUACCGGACCUAGCGGCGGACGGGUGAGUAAUGCUUAGGAAUCUGCCUAUUAGUGGGGGACAACAUCUCGAAAGGGAUGCUAAUACCGCAUACGUCCUACGGGAGAAAGCAGGGGAUCUUCGGACCUUGCGCUAAUAGAUGAGCCUAAGUCGGAUUAGCUAGUUGGUGGGGUAAAGGCCUACCAAGGCGACGAUCUGUAGCGGGUCUGAGAGGAUGAUCCGCCACACUGGGACUGAGACACGGACCAGACUCCUACGGGAGGUAGCAGUGGGGAAUAUUGGACAAUGGGGGGAACCCUGAUCCAGCCAUGCCGCGUGUGUGAAGAAGGCCUUAUGGUUGUAAAGCACUUUAAGCGAGGAGGAGGCUACUCUAGUUAAUACCUAGGGAUAGUGGACGUUACUCGCAGAAUAAGCACCGGCUAACUCUGUGCCAGCCGCCGCCGUAACAC